GAUGAACGCUGGCGGCGUGCCUAAUACAUGCAAGUCGAACGCGCAGCGAAAGGUGCUUGCACCUUUCAAGCGAGUGGCGAACGGGUGAGUAACACGUGGAUAACCUGCCUCAAGGCUGGGGAUAACAUUUGGAAACAGAUGCUAAUACCGAAUAAAACUUAGUAUCGCAUGAUACAAAGUUAAAAGGCGCUACGGCGUCACCUAGAGAUGGAUCCGCGGGGCAUUAGUUAGUUGGUGGGGUAAAGGCUUACCAAGACGAUGAUGCAUAGCCGAGUUGAGAGACAGAUCGGCCACAUUGGGACUGAGACACGGCCCAAACUCCUACGGGAGGCUGCAGUAGGGAAUCUUCCACAAUGGGCGCAAGCCUGAUGGAGCAACGCCGCGUGUGUGAUGAAGGCUUUCGGGUCGUAAAGCACUGUUGUAUGGGAAGAAAUGCUAAAAUAGGGAAUGAUUUUAGUUUGACGGUACCAUACCAGAAAGGGACGGCUAAAUACGUGCCAGCCGCCGCGGUAA
rnacentral:rRNA from 1 species